rnacentral:rRNA from 1 species
GAAACGACUGCUAAGACUGGGUAGGAGACAAGAAGGCAUCUUCUUGUUUUUAAAAGACCUAGCAAUAGGUAUGCUUAGGGAGGAGCUUGCGUCACAUUAGUUAGUUGGUGGGGUAAAGGCCUACCAAGACUAUGAUGUGUAGCCGGGCUGAGAGGUUGAACGGCCACAUUGGGACUGAGACACGGCCCAAACUCCUACGGGAGGCAGCAGUAGGGAAUUUUCGGCAAUGGAGGAAACUCUGACCGAGCAACGCCGCGUGAACGAUGAAGUAUUUCGGUACGUAAAGUUCUUUUAUUAGGGAAGAAUAAAUGAUGGAAAAAUCAUUCUGACGGUACCUAAUGAAUAAGCCCCGGCUAACUAUGUGCCAGCAGCCGCGGUAAUACAUAGGGGGCAAGCGUUAUCCGGAAUUAUUGGGCGUAAAGGGUGCGUAGGCGGUUAAAUAAGUUUAUGGUCUAAGUGCAAUGCUCAACAUUGUGAUGCUAUAAAAACUGUUUAGCUAGAGUAAGAUAGAGGCAAGUGGAAUUCCAUGUGUAGUGGUAAAAUGCGUAAAUAUAUGGAGGAACACCAGUAGCGAAGGCGGCUUGCUGGGUCUUUACUGACGCUGAGGCACGAAAGCGUGGGGAGCAAACAGGAUUAGAUACCCUGGUAGUCCACGCCGUAAACGAUGAGUACUAAACGUUGGGUAAAACCAGUGUUGAAGUUAACACAUUAAGUACUCCGCCUGAGUAGUACGUACGCAAGUAUGAAACUUAAAGGAAUUGACGGGACUCCGCACAAGCGGUGGAUCAUGUUGUUUAAUUCGAAGGUACCCGAAAAACCUCACCAGGUCUUGACAUGCUUCUGCAAAGCUGUAGAAACACAGUGGAGGUUAUCAGUUGCACAGGUGGUGCAUGGUUGUCGUCAGCUCGUGUCGUGAGAUGUUGGGUUAAGUCCCGCAACGAGCGCAACCCUUAUUGUUAGUUACCAGCACGUAAUGGUGGGGACUUUAGCAAGACUGCCAGUGAUAAAUUGGAGGAAGGUGGGGACGACGUCAAAUCAUCAUGCCCCUUAUGACCUGGGCUAUAAACGUGAUACAAUGGCUGUUACAAAGGGUAGCUGAAGCGCAAGUUUUUGGCGAAUCUCAAAAAACCAGUCUCAGUUCGGAUUGAAGUCUGCAACUCGACUUCAUGAAGUUGGAAUCGCUAGUAAUCGCGAAUCAGCAUGUCGCGGUGAAUACGUUCACGGGGUUUGUACACACCGCCCGUCA